UACGUAGGCAGCAAGCGUUGUUCGGAUCUAUUGGGCGUAAAGGAUGCGUAGAUGGUGUAGUAAGUUAUCGGUGGUAAAUCGAGGCUCAACCUCGUGGAAGUCGGUAAUACUGUUAUGCUAGAGGAUAGGAGAGGUUAACGGAACUCCCUGCGGAGCGGUGAAAUGCGUAGAUAUAGGGAAGAACACCAAUAAAGGCGAAGGCAGUUAACUAUUCUAUUCCUGACAUUGAGGCAUGAAAGCGUGGGGAGCAAAACGG
rnacentral:rRNA from 1 species